UACAGAGGGUGCAAGCGUUAAUCGGAAUUACUGGGCGUAAAGGGCGCGUAGGCGGAUAAUUAAGUUAGAUGUGAAAUCCCUGGGCUUAACCUGGGAACUGCAUUUAAUACUGGUUAUCUAGAGUAGAGUAGAGGGAAGUGGAAUUUCCGGUGUAGCGGUGAAAUGCGUAGAUAUCGGAAAGAACAUCAGUGGCGAAGGCGGCUUUCUGGACUCAUACUGACGCUGAGGCGCGAAAGCUAGGGGAGCAAACAGG
rnacentral:rRNA from 1 species